UACAGAUGGAACCAGUGAUACUAGUUCUUGAUGCAUAUACAUUUGUGAUGCAAUUUUACCCUUGAGGAAUAUCCAGGGAAGCAAAGCACUACGGGGAUCAUCAUUCUCAUCCUAGAGGCUCUCUUCUACAUCUGCCUCUUCCGGGACCACAGCUCCCAAGAGGAAAGAUAGAGGUGGCAGUGGCAGCUGACAAUUUACCUUAUUCUUUGGAAUCUCAGGGUUUCUCCUGCUCAACAGCUGCUUUGCCUCAGGCGUAAAUCAGAAGAGGAAAACCAGCUUCUGGACCCGGAGGGAGGAUGAAAGGGAAUAGGAAUUGAGGGAAGUGGAAGGGAAGACUAAGGGACCCCUGGAGAGUCCCUACUAAGCCAGACAUAACAAACAAAAGUCCUCUGCUACUGGGGAAGACAGAACAGAGAAGCCAGCAGGGGAAGAAAAAGAUGAUGCUGUUCUUGAUGCCUCAAAAACUGCAAGGGAGAACCCAGGCAACUGAUAUACACACCCUUGGAACAAAUCUACCCCAGAAGUACAAGACACACACUUCAAAUUCAUGGAAUAAAUGGGAGCUCCUGGCCACAGUGGGAGCCAUGAUCUCUCUCCUUUAUACGUGGCUGUAUUCCCAGAGCUUUCAUUUCCAUGUGGCACAUUUUUAUGCUCAUUUUGGGUAAAGAUAUCUGAAAGGAGCUGGUGUAGUGAAGGAUGAAGAGAAGGCAAUGCAAUGGUUUAGGGAUGUAGAAAUGCUUCUUAAUGUUGCUGCAAAACGGGGAUCCAAGAAGACGAAGAACUUCUGGAGAAUGUUAUUUGGACUAAAAGCAAGCUCUUGCCAACUGCAAGAACCAGGAGUUUUUAUAAACCAUAAUGUGUGUCCUGCAUCCUCUUCCUGGAACAUAGGAUGUUCUGCUCUCACUUGUCCACUGUGGCCCUGCAAUGCUUUGUGGCACUUUCAACGGAAGCUCCUUUUACUUAUAGUCUCGUAUGCUACUGUAGCAUUAAUUUGCUGCUGCAGCAUUAAUUUGCUGGUUAAAAUCCUUUCAAUGAAGUGUUACUUAUAUGUUUUCUUGGAUUUGAGUUUGACCUCUUCUGGAUAGAGGAGUACUUUAUUUGGUUUUCAUUACUGCUCACUUCAGCUAAAGUUGCAUUCAAGCCAGUGAGCAUUCUAUA